GAUGAACGCUGGCGGCGUGCCUAAUACAUGCAAGUCGAGCGAACAGACGAGGAGCUUGCUCCUCUGACGUUAGCGGCGGACGGGUGAGUAACAUGUGUAUAACCUACCUAUAAGACUGGGAUAACUUCGGGAAACCGGAGCUAAUACCGGAUAAGAUAUUGAACCGCAGUGUUCAAUAGUGAAAGACGGUUUUGCGGUCACUUAUAGAUGGAUCCGCGCCGCAUUAGCUAGUUGGUAAGGUAACGGCCUACCAAGGCAACGAUGCGUAGCCGACCUGAGAGAGUGAUCGCCCACACUGGAACUGAGACACGGUCCAGACUCCUACGGGAGGCAGCAGUCGGGAAUCUUCCGCAAUGGGCGAAAGCCUGACGGAGCAACGCCGCGUGAGUGAUGACGGUCUUCGGAUCGUAAAACUCUGUUAUUAGGGAAGAACCAAUGUGUAAGUAACUAUGCACGUCUUGACGGUACCUAAUAAGAAAGCCACGGCUAACUACGUG
rnacentral:rRNA from 1 species